UCUCAAAUUAAAAUGUGACUUGGUUCGCCGGUUAAACGCAGUGAGAGAUGGAAAAGACCUGGAGUCGAAAAGGAAGAGGAGGCAAUUGAUGAAUAACCUAAUUGCAGGAUUGACAUCCUAUCAUAUUCACUGGCAGCACCCAACACUCAGGGGAAGACGCAUGCAUACUGCACAGCAGACACCUUGAGACCAUCUUGGAAUUCUGUCCACCACGUGGAGUGUAGUGCCAUGGGGAUCACUGGCUGGACUCUGCAGGCCGUAGAAGCUUGGAGGAGAGGUCGUGGAACCCAGAGAAGUGAAAAAUUCCUUGGGCUGCCGUGUGGAGGCUAAACUGCAGGAUGGAAGCAGGGAGGCCAGUCAUGUAAUGAGAAGACAACUGACCUCAUGCAGGCAAAGGUGAUGGCUUUCCUUUGAAAGAGCAAUGGAGGGCUGGGAUGUGGCUGGAAUUGGGAUUUAUUUGGAAGGUAGCCUCAACAGAGUUUGCUGAUGAAUUAUUCUAUGCAGAUCAAGUAUGUAUUUAUAGUUGCCACUCCCUCCAUUUUUAAAAUAUAAGUGAUAGCUUACUAUACAAAUUAUUCUGCAUCUUGCUUUUUGUCAC